rnacentral:lncRNA from 1 species
ACCCUGGACGAAUCUGCCUCAAGCCAUGUCUGACACAGGAAGGCAUACAUCAAAGGGAUAACAGGUGACGAGCAGAACACCUCUGCAUCCAGUUGGAGAACGUUGUAGAAUGAGUUGAUAUGAAUGGGAAGAGCUAGAAAGAUCGUGAAGACUCGGGUUCCCACCAUAUUUACGUCUGUGAUGGUGGAGACGCUGUGUGAACAAUGGAAGCACUGGACCAAAGGGUGAGAAAGCGGGGGAGUGGGGCUGGGAGAUGACUUGGUGUGUGUAAUCAUUUUCCACAUAACCAUGAAGUCCUUAGGUCAAAUCCCCAGAACCCAUGGAAAGCCAGAUGCAUAGUGUAAGCAUCUGUGAUCCUAGCAAUGCUACAGAGAGAGG